AAGAAAGAAAGAAAGAAAGAAAGAAAGAAAGAAAGAAAGAAAGAAAGAAAGAAAGAAAGAAAGAAAGAAAGAAAGAAAGAAAGAAAGAAAGGAAGGAAGGAAGGAAUGAAGAGAAGGAGAGAUAGAAGGAGAGAUAGAAGGAGAGAUAGAAGGAGAGGGAAACAGACUGAAAUGGUGAAAGUGGGAGACAGGAGAUGCAGGAGACAAAGGGACAGAGACAGAAAGGAGAAGGGGAUGAGAAAUGAGACAGACUGAGACAGAGAGGGAGAGUGUGUGUGACAGCUGUGUGUGAACGAGAUGCCCGGAACCAAGGUGCCCGUCACACACCACCAGGGGGGCACUUUCAGUGAGUGCGCCAUGCAGCCAGACUUGGGGGACAGAAAACAAUGCAACACACGUCACUGCAUCAGGACAAAAUCACAACCUUGUCGGGCCGCAAACAUCCCCUCUCUGUAAUGUCAGUGAAAGGACAGUGACGCAGUGUCCCUUCAACUAGAUAAUACUCAAACCCUCCAAUCCUCUAAACACCAGGAUCUAACCUUCCACAAGUCUAGUUUAACUUUUAACCCUUGACCUUGUCAAAGAGGAGGUCCACUACCAUAUGAGCAACUUUGUACAGCUGUAAUUGAGGCAGGUAGACAAACAGUGCUCUGCUCACUGUUCCAUUAAGUUAAUUGAGUUGUUGAGAAACUCGUACUACAAACAAUCUCGUCGACCAUGAUAAAUGGAUGCACAGAACACUGCAUUAGAAUAGACAGCAUUACCAGACGCAUUCUAGAAAAACCACCUAGCUGUUGUAGUGUCUUUCUACAUAUUGUGAAUUGUUCUGUGUAGAACCAUAAUGUAAAUGUCAGCAUGUUGUGGAUGUCAAGUGGAUCUAUAGCUCUGGCUCAGUGGUGGGUUAACAUUUGUCAUUGGACAGAAUGAAUGGAACUGACCUGACCGUAUGGCCAAUCAGAACACAGGAGGUCAAAGGUUAUAAAUGAAUGCACAGGCGUAAUGGUUCCCCCUGAGUUUAAUUUGUGUCUCAGACUCGUUCAGUCCACUAGUUGUUAGAGGUGUCAUUAUCAAAUAAUUCAGUUGGGUUUUUUUCAAAUCAUGGUGCUAAAAUGUAUGACGCCUCCUCUACUUUUAACCAUCUCUCUGUCCUAAUGGCAGAAAGUCAACAACAAAAAAACUGUUUUAGUUUCCAAAAAGCGAGAUCGGUAAUUGGUCUGAUGUCCUUUCCAAAAGCACCAUGUAGGCCAAGCCUUUUACCUCCAGUCAGAACACUGCUACACUAAAACACUGUUUAAAGGGAAUCGCUGCAUUAGGGUUUUUUGGAGCAGACACACAAAUGCAAGCUUGAUGACCGUGUAUUAUUUUACCACACACACACAGACACACACACAGAGGCUUUCCUGAACAAUCAGUGAGAGCUGAAGAGGUGAGCUGAGCACUAAUUCUGUGCUUUAAUCGGGAAUACAUUUCCUUACACGCGCACGCACACACACACACACAGUAGUUCACUGAGAUAGAGGAUGAGUGAGCAGUGGCUUGUUGUGUAGGGCUGGGAUAUACUGGCGCUCUGAACCAAUGGGACUUCCUGAGUUGUAUGAGUGACAGUCACUCUGACCGAACCAAUUUAAGGUUCCUCAGAUCACCAUGGCAAUGGAAUGAUUUAGAUUUAUUUACAAAAAAAUGCCCUUUUCCUGACAUCGUCUGAAAAAGAAUGGAAAUAAACGUGGAAUUUUGCUUUAGGAGCAGCUAUAACAGGAAAGAAAGAAGUCCGAUAUAAUUACAAAGACAAGAAAACAUUUCCAUUGAGGAUCAUGUCAAUAACAAACUGUAUCACAGUAUCCCCUUUCCAAGUCAAAUAAAACAUUUUUUGUUCACAUUUGUAUUUUUUUCCCAGUAUACUAUAUCACACAGUGAUAACAAAGAAAGGAGAAAUCUACAGCCACGUUAGCUUCGUGCAAAAAACACAUACACUGGCACGCCGCAUAGGCAAAGAUUAAAGCAGAAACAAUGCAUACAAAAAUAUAGAAAAUCUCCAAUGCAACUCAACACCUCACUGAAAACUAGCUUUCUGUCUUUGAACAACAAUUUCUCCACCAAACAGCAUCUCUUUCACCAAAUGGUCACUUCUGGAACAUUCUAUUUGUGUUUUUGUCUUUGAAGGCCUAGACCAUUGGCCUUCCAUAUAGGAAACCAUAGAACCAAAAACAGAAUCCGGUAGCUAUAGUAUGUCAUUAUGACGGUUAGUCAUAAUGAUAUUCAGAAUAAUUAUAAUAACAACAACAUGUUGAAUGAUAGAAAACUAGUACAAUAAAAGCAUAUCAAAUACAUAUUUCCUGUCACUUUUAAGACAUUCCAGCAUUUGCUCAUAACUGUUGGUGACAGGUUACAUACGGUAGUUUGGCAUACUCAGCAAGCCAUGCCCAGAAGGAUGCUAGGGGUCGUGCUCCCCUGUUCAGACGUUGCAUGCAUCAUCCAAUGGUUGUGUGCCACAUCAUCGACUGUGCCGUCAGACACCAGAUUGGUGCAGCAUAUGAUGUGGUUAGCUGAUACGUAAAAUAACUAUCCAGAUUUAGGAAGAUCUGGCACGCGUCAGCAACGCCUGGGAAGAGGAACACGGCUUACAUCUCUUGCAAAAGAGAGGAGGGGUUUCAGGUUUCAGGAUGCAGUGGAACCUGUCCACCAAUGGGAUACAUUGUAUCUGGGUGGUGGCGGGGGAAGGGUGGGGUUAUACAGAACAGCCCAAACUGCAAACCGACGUGCUCAAGACCAGGUCAGCACACAAGUUCAGUUCAGCACUUGCAAACACAUGCAAAGAUAUUUCAUAGUUUUAAGAUUCUGUCUUUCUCUGUCUUUUUUAGUUUUUAGCAGUCUCUCGCUUUCUUGUUGUGUGUGGGUGGAGCACUGAACCCCACUGGCCAAUCCAUGGGCUUCUUACUGAAACCACAGACCAAUUGUUGAGCUUCUUAUUGAAGGCUGUGACAGCCAGUCCAGCUGUCCUGCUUCACAUUGAUAGAAAAGAUUGUUUGGACGCCUCAAGACAAAAAUAUAUUGAUACAUAUCAAAUGGUCAGAGGGCAGGCGGGCAGGCGGGUAGGGGAUUGACAUGAUGCUAUAAGGCAAGGACAGAGGGGUUACACAGCAGUAAGAGUUCAAGUCAUGAAAAAAAACAUGCAGACAGGCUUAACAUAUCAGAGGCCAUGUGAGGGACGGAGAGAUGGACAGGUUUAAACAUAUCAGAGGCCAUGUGAGGGACGGAGAGAUGGACAGGUUUAAACAUAUCAGAGGCCAUGUGAGGGACGGAGAGAUGGACAGGUUUUAACAUAUCAGAGGCCAUGUGAGGGACGGAGAGAUGGACAGGUUUUAACAUAUCAGAGGCCAUGUGAGGGACGGAGAGAUGGACAGGUUUAAACAUAUCAGAGGCCAUGUGAGGGACGGAGAGAUGGACAGGUUUUAACAUAUCAGAGGCCAUGUGAGGGACGGAGAGAUGGACAGGUUUAAACAUAUCAGAGGCCAUGUGAGGGACGGAGAGAUGGACAGGUUUAAACAUAUCAGAGGCCAUGUGAGGGACGGAGAGAUGGACAGGUUUAAACAUAUCAGAGGCCAUGUGAGGGACGGAGAGAUGGACAGGUUUAAACAUAUCAGAGGCCAUGUG
ensembl:lncRNA